UUUCUAAUUCUUCCUGGAGGAGCUUGCUAUCUAACCGAUAAUCCACGUUACACCUCACCAACUUUUGAAUAUUACAGCUUGUAUACCAUCGUCGUCAGUUUACUUCCUAAGAAACGUAAACAAAACGAAACAAUAAACUUCUUGACGUCAGAUCGAGGUGCAGCUAAUAAGUUGGGGAUUAGUGAGCUACAAUUGUCCUAACAAAAAUUAAACCCUACAAAUGAAUGCCCGACUGACACGUCGGCCUGAAACAGGAUUCAGCAGUAAUGAGUAAAAGAUAGUACUCAUGAAAAUCUACCAGCUCUAGAAUGCGC
rnacentral:rRNA from 1 species